CUGCUUCACAGUUCCGGGAGGAACAAACACACAUGGCUCAGCAGGUUAAUGACUGAAGUAGAUGGUAUGUGCUGUCUACCAGGCUGCCAAGAGAUCUCUUCCUGAGAACAACAGGAGAAACUGCUCCCAACAGUGCUGAAAGGUGCUGAGAUCUGUGAGGCACGCUGCACUAUCUGCCUCUGCAGAGCAAAGAGACACACUGGAGGACACAAAAUGGCCCAAAGUCUCUGCCUUGGAACUUACACUCUUGGAAGAGGAGGAAAGCAGUGGCAGUAAAUAAAUAAAUCAUCUAGAGCAGUGGUUCUCAUUCUGUGGGGUCGAGACCCCUUGCAGUCGAAUGAUCUUUUCACAGGGGUCACCUAAGACCAUCGGAAAUAUCAGAUUUUU
rnacentral:lncRNA from 1 species